UACAGAGGUCUCAAGCGUUGUUCGGAUUCAUUGGGCGUAAAGGGUGCGUAGGCGGCGCGGUAAGUCGGGUGUGAAAUCUCGGAGCUUAACUCCGAAACUGCAUUCGAUACUGCCGUGCUUGAGGACUGGAGAGGAGACUGGAAUUUACGGUGUAGCGGUGAAAUGCGUAGAUAUCGUAAGGAAGAACCAGUGGCGAAGGCGGGUCUCUGGACAGUUCCUGACGCUGAGGCACGAAGGCCAGGGGAGCAAACGGG
rnacentral:rRNA from 1 species